rnacentral:rRNA from 1 species
GACGAACGCUGGCGGCGUGCUUAACACAUGCAAGUCGAACGGGCCUGUCUUCUUUUUUGGGGGUGGGUUGAGUGGCGAACGGGUGAGUAUCACGUGAGUAACCUGCCCUUCGGUCCUGGAUAACCGCUUGAAAGGGCGGCUAAUACGGGGUGGUCCGGUUGGUCCGCAUGGGCUGGUCGGGAUAGAUUCACUGUUUUUGGUGUUUCGGCGGGGGAUGGGCUCGCGGCCUAUCAGCUUGGUGGUGGGGUGAUGGCCUACCAAGGCGGUGACGGGUAGCCGGGCUGAGAGGGUGGGCGGCCAGACUGGGACUGAGAUACGGCCCAGACUCGUGCGGGAGGCAGCAGUGGGGGGUAUUGCAGGAUGGGCGGAAGCCUGAUGCAGCGACGUCGCGUGAGGGAUGGAGGCCUUCGGGUUGUGAACCUCUGUUUGCGGUGGUGAAGGCCCUGUCCGUGUGGUGGGGUUGACGGUAGCCGGGGAUGAAGCGCCGGCUAACUACGUG